rnacentral:rRNA from 1 species
GACGAACGCUGGCGGCGUGCUUAACACAUGCGAGUCGAACGGAAAGGCCUACUUUCCCUUGUGGAUUGCGGGUACUCGAGUGGCGAACGGGUGAGUAACACGUGAGUGAUCUGCCCCCAACUUGGGUAUAAGCCUGGGAAACUGGGUCUAAUUCCCGAUAGGACUGCAGGGUGGUGCCUGUGGUGGAAAACGAUUUUCUAGUGGUUGGGGAUGAGCUCGCGGCCUAUCAGCUUGUUGGUGGGGUAAUGGCCUACCAAGGCGGCGACGGGUAGCCGGCCUGAGAGGGUGGACGGCCACAUUGGGACUGAGAUACGGCCCAGACUCCUACGGGAGGCAGCAGUGGGGAAUAUUGCACAAUGGGCGGAAGCCUGAUGCAGCGACGCCGCGUGGGGGAUGACGGCCUUCGGGUUGUAAACUCCUUUCGACCGCGAGGAAGCCACCUGGUUGGAAGGGUGGUGACGGUAGUGGUAGAAGAAGCACCGGCUAACUACGU